rnacentral:lncRNA from 1 species
UCAGUGAUGGCUGGGGUGGCCCGAGGGCCUGAGCACACAAGUAGGGGCAGGACGGUCCGAAGAUGGCAGAGAGCACUUUGGAGCAGACCUGGCUUUGGCACAGCACAUCCUGGGCCUGCCUGCCAAUCAGAUGACCCUCAAUCCCCGAGACCCAGGGGAAGGCCCUCUUGGGGCUGAUGCAGGUUAUGCAGGUGAAACUCCAAGGAAUCCCCUUCAUGGUGCCAGCCAAACCCGUGCACAGGUGACCGGUGGGGAACCUGUCUGGACUCAGCUGUUGAAUCCAAAGCAUGAGCCGGGUGUGAGGUUACAUGGAAGCAGCGGUGUUGGCUACCACUUACGAAGCCCCUCCCACACGAUGGGCCCUUUGUGUGAAUGACGUCCAGCAGGGAGGAAGGUGAAGAAGACAGCCAAUGAGAAGGAUGGUGCCUUGAGAAAGCCUGCAUUCUGAGAUUGUGUGUGUGUUCCUUACCAGAAAGGUCUCAGCUUCCAUAACUUCUUUAACUCCUCCUAGCUGGGUGUUCCACCCACUUCCCCACACGACAGGGACACCCAGAAUUGGGUCCUUUCUCAGAAACUACCCGUGGGAGAAGGAAGUUGCUUCAUUGAUGAGGAAGGGAGAAAGGCCUGGUCUGGGGCAGAGGUGUGGGCAAAGUCCAUGGAUCUCAAGGGGCACACUAUUCUGAAGUCAACCCUUCUUGGAGCUCCUGCGG